rnacentral:rRNA from 1 species
ACGGAAGGCAGCAGUGAGGAAUAUUGGUCAAUGGGCGGAAGCCUGAACCAGCCAAGUCGCGUGAAGGAUGAAGGUAUUAUGUAUUGUAAACUUCUUUAGCCAGGGGGCAAUAAGGCGUACGCGUACGCCGAUGAGAGUACCUGGAGAAUAAGGAUCGGCUAACUCCGUGCCAGCAGCCGCGGUAAUACGGAGGAUCCGAGCGUUAUCCGGAUUUAUUGGGUUUAAAGGGUGCGCAGGCGGAGGAUUAAGUCAGCGGUGAAAUUCUCAUGCUCAACAUGAGAACUGCCAUUGAUACUGGUCCCCUUGAGAGAUGUCGAGGAUGGCGGAAUGUGAUGUGUAGCGGUGAAAUGCUUAGAUAUGUCACAGAACACCGAUUGCGAAGGCAGCUGUCCAGAGAUCAUCUGACGCUCAGGCACGAAAGCAUGGGUAUCAAACAGGAUUAGAUACCCUGGUA